GACGAACGCUGGCGGCAUGCUUAACACAUGCAAGUCGAACGGAAAGGCCCUGCUUUUGUGGGGUGCUCGAGUGGCGAACGGGUGAGUAACACGUGAGUAACCUGCCCUUGACUUUGGGAUAACUUCAGGAAACUGGGGCUAAUACCGGAUAGGAGCUCCUGCUGCAUGGUGGGGGUUGGAAAGUUUCGGCGGUUGGGGAUGGACUCGCGGCUUAUCAGCUUGUUGGUGGGGUAGUGGCUUACCAAGGCUUUGACGGGUAGCCGGCCUGAGAGGGUGACCGGCCACAUUGGGACUGAGAUACGGCCCAGACUCCUACGGGAGGCAGCAGUGGGGAAUAUUGCACAAUGGGCGGAAGCCUGAUGCAGCAACGCCGCGUGCGGGAUGACGGCCUUCGGGUUGUAAACCGCUUUCGCCUGUGACGAAGCGUGAGUGACGGUAAUGGGUAAAGAAGCACCGGCUAACUACGUGC
rnacentral:rRNA from 1 species